AACGAACGCUGGCGGCAGGCUUAACACAUGCAAGUCGAACGCCCCGCAAGGGGAGUGGCGCACGGGUGAGUAACGCGUGGAUAUCUGCCUUUUGGUUCGGAAUAACCCCGGGAAACUAGGGCUAAUACCGGAUGGUUCCUACGGGAUAAAGAUUUAUCGCCAAAAGAUGAGUCCGCGUACGAUUAGCUAGUUGGUGAGGUAAUGGCUCACCAAGGCGACGAUCGUUAGCUGGUCUGAGAGGACGAUCAGCCACACUGGGACUGAGACACGGCCCAGACUCCUACGGGAGGCAGCAGUGGGGAAUAUUGGACAAUGGGGGCAACCCUGAUCCAGCCAUGCCGCGUGAGUGAUGAAGGCCUUCGGGUUGUAAAGCUCUUUUGGCGGGGACGAUGAUGACGGUACCCGCAGAAUAAGCCCCGGCUAACUUCGUGCCAGCCGCCGCCGUAAAAC
rnacentral:rRNA from 1 species